CUCCAUUAAACGAAAGCCUUGGAGGAAAAUUAUCUGGUGAUGAGGAGGGAAUGCAUACAUGCGACUGUGCUGAUGUCACCCCAAACUCUAUUAACCCAUGAAGGGAACCAGUUUGACGGCGUUAAGUUUGUUUGACGACACGAAAGAGAUGCCAACGACGAUGCAUGCACAACACAAUAACCAACAAUAAUGAGAUGCUUGAUAAUAUAAAUAAGAGGAUAGAUGCUUGAUGUUAUGCAUUAAAAUAUACUCUCAAUUAGAGUAAAAUAGUAAUAUAUGCAGAUAUUAUUACUUACCUUCAUCGGUUUGUAGAUAUUCCUCUCUUUUGUUCCUGCAAGGGCAGAGAUUAUUACACAA